CCUACGGGAGGCAGCAGUGAGGAAUAUUGGUCAAUGGGCGCGAGCCUGAACCAGCCAAGUCGCGUGAGGGAUGACGGUUCUAUGGAUUGUAAACCUCUUUUAUAAGGGAAUAAAGUGUGGGACGUGUCCUAUUUUGUAUGUACCUUAUGAAUAAGGAUCGGCUAACUCCGUGCCAGCAGCCGCGGUAAUACGGAGGAUCCGAGCGUUAUCCGGAUUUAUUGGGUUUAAAGGGUGCGUAGGCGGCCUAUUAAGUCAGCGGUGAAAGUCGGUGGCUCAACCAUAGAAUUGCCGUUGAAACUGGGGGUCUUGAGUAUGUUGGAGGCAGGCGGAAUGCGUGGUGUAGCGGUGAAAUGCUUAGAUAUCACGCAGAACCCCGAUUGCGAAGGCAGCCUGCCAGGCCAUGACUGACGCUGAUGCACGAAAGCGUGGGGAUCAAACAGGAUUAGAUACCCGAGUAGUC
rnacentral:rRNA from 1 species